rnacentral:rRNA from 1 species
GACGAACGCUGGCGGCGUGCCUAAUACAUGCAAGUAGAACGCACAGUUUAUACCGUAGCUUGCUACACCAUAAACUGUGAGUUGCGAACGGGUGAGUAACGCGUAGGUAACCUGCCUGGUAGCGGGGGAUAACUAUUGGAAACGAUAGCUAAUACCGCAUAAUAUUAAUUAUUGCAUGAUAAUUGAUUGAAAGAUGCAAUUGCAUCACUACCAGAUGGACCUGCGUUGUAUUAGCUAGUAGGUGAGGUAACGGCUCACCUAGGCGACGAUACAUAGCCGACCUGAGAGGGUGAUCGGCCACACUGGGACUGGGACACGGCCCAGACUCCUACGGGAGGCAGCAGUAGGGAAUCUUCGGCAAUGGACGAAAGUCUGACCGAGCAACGCCGCGUGAGUGAAGAAGGUUGUCGGAUCGUAAAGCUCUGUUGUAAGAGAAGAACGGGUGUGAGAGUGGAAAGUUCACACUGUGACGGUAUCUUACCAGAAAGGGACGGCUAACUACGUG